rnacentral:rRNA from 1 species
GACGAACGCUGGCGGCGUGCUUAACACAUGCAAGUCGAACGGAGAUUAUUAAUGAAGCUUGCGAUUUAAUAAUCUUAGUGGCGGACGGGUGAGUAACGCGUGGGCAACCUACCCAUAAGCGGGGGAUAACAGUCGGAAACGGCUGCUAAUACCCCAUAAGCCGAGAGGUAAAAGGAUCAAUCCGGCAGAGGAGGUACUCGCGUCCUAUCAGCUAGUAGGUGAGGUAACGGCUCACCUAGGCGAAGACGGGUAGCCGGCCUGAGAGGGCGAACGGCCACACUGGAACUGAGAUACGGUCCAGACUCCUACGGGA